rnacentral:rRNA from 1 species
AUUGAACGCUGGCGGCAGGCCUAACACAUGCAAGUCGAACGGUAACAGGAAGCAGCUUGCUGCUUUGCUGACGAGUGGCGGACGGGUGAGUAAUGUCUGGGAAACUGCCCGAUGGAGGGGGAUAACUACUGGAAACGGUAGCUAAUACCGCAUAACGUCGCAAGACCAAAGAGGGGGACCUUAGGGCCUCUUGCCAUCGGAUGUGCCCAGAUGGGAUUAGCUAGUAGGUGGGGUAACGGCUCACCUAGGCGACGAUCCCUAGCUGGUCUGAGAGGAUGACCAGCCACACUGGAACUGAGACACGGUCCAGACUCCUACGGGAGGCAGCAGUGGGGAAUAUUGCACAAUGGGCGCAAGCCUGAUGCAGCCAUGCCGUGUGUAUGAAGAAGGCCUUCGGGUUGUAAAGUACUUUCAGCGGGGAGGAAGGGAGUAAAGUUAAUACCUUUGCUCAUUGACGUUACCCGCAGAAGAAGCACCGGCUAACUCCGUG